rnacentral:tRNA from 1 species
AUAUGAGGAGUUUUGCAAACAUUAGACUUUGGAUCUAAAGAAGGUGAUUUGGUUCACUCUCAUAUU